rnacentral:lncRNA from 1 species
GGAGGUACCUUCCACAACUUCUUCCACUCGGUUUCUAAACUUUAAUUCUGUCAAUAGUUAUGUAAAUUUACACAAUCAAGUGAGCUGAAUAAUGCCACAUCUCUAUUUUGACCACACCAUACUUCUUCAUUUGCUUUUUCCAGACAGAACUAAGGGAGGACGUGUGGCUCCCUGUUGCUCAGUUUUCUGUCUUCAUACUCAAAGCUGCUAAGUACCUACACUUCAUUUUAAACAUCUAGGAACAAUGCAGUUGAGAGAGAAUUUCACAACAGUUUUGUCUAUAACAGUCCAAACAGGAAGUUAAUGGGAAUUUAAUUCUCCUGCAUAAGCCCUCACAGGUCUUGCCCCUGUGUUCCUGGAUUAAACAGUGAGACCUGAGGUGUGGGAGAAGGAGCGGGAGGAAGCUGAACUUCCAGACAGCCCCCAAAACCACCCUACCCGGGG